ACAGGUUCCAUGGGUGUCACGUGAAAUGCACGUGUUUAUAUUCUUGGUAUAUAGACUCGACUGGAAGCUGGAAAGGGGUAGUCGUCGGGGAGAGAACGGAGUGUCGAAGGAAGCCAUCGCCGGCUAACGUGAUUCAAGUGGGAGAGAGAGAGAGAGAGAGAGAGAGAGAUGAGAGAAUGAGGAGGAGUGGUCGUUAUUUAUGGAAUCGACGAGUAGUUCCCUUUGCGGCGUCGGCGGAGGAGGAGGAGGAGGCGGCGGAGGGCGGUCGAAGGGGCGGAUAUGGGAGUUCCAGAGGGACAUGCUCGCCGGGGCGGUGAUGGGCGGAGCGAUUCAUACUGUGGUGGCCCCGAUCGAGAGGGCCAAGUUACUGCUGCAGACGCAGGAGAGCAACGUCGCCCUCCUCGGCCGUGGCCGCCGCUUCCGGGGUAUGAUCGAUUGCAUAGCCCGCACAGUCCGCGAGGAGGGCGUACUCUCGCUGUGGCGCGGAAAUGGCACCGGCGUCAUCCGAUACUACCCCUCGGUCGCUCUCAACUUCUCCCUCAAGGAUCUCUAUAGGACCAUAUUGCACAGAGGAAAAACAGAUCAUUUGUCUGUCGCAACUGCCAACUUCAUGGCAGGGGCGGCAGCAGGUUGCACAACUUUGGUGAUCAUCUAUCCACUGGACAUAGCCCAUACCCGCCUCGCCGCAGACAUCGGCAAGACUGAAGCUCGGCAAUUCAGAGGCAUCAGCCAUUUCCUUCAUACUGUCUACAAGAAAGACGGCAUUCAAGGCAUCUACCGAGGAUUGCCCGCGUCAAUCCACGGAAUGGUCAUCCAUCGCGGCCUAUAUUUUGGUGGAUUCGACACUGCCAAAGACCUCGUUCUCACUGAUGACUCCCCCUUGUGGAAGCGUUGGGUAGCCGCUCAAGUUGUGACAACAUUCGCCAGCUUGACCUCAUAUCCACUAGAUACCGUUCGAAGGCGGAUGAUGAUGCAAUCUGGCCUGGAGAAACCGAUGUACGAUGGCACUCUGGAUUGUUGGAGGAAGAUUUAUAAGCUGGAGGGUCUAAGAUCAUUCUAUCGCGGUGCCUUAUCUAACACGUUUAGGAGUACGGGAGCAGCUGCUAUAUUGGUUUUGUACGACGAGGUGAAGAAGCUAAUGAGAUGGGGUGGUUUUUGACAAGCAUGGAAAACUUUUUAAGCCAUUUUUUUCGAUACACAAAAAAGAUGGUCACAAUAAUAGCAAAAUUGACGGGAGUGUCGAAGGCGAGCGUAUUCAUCUUUUAUCAUAAUAUAAAAAGUUUUAGAAGUCCUCUCAGGAUGGUCUAGCCGUUAGCACAUGAGAUGUUAUCAUCAUGAGAUCUGGAGUUCGAAUCUCGAUAAAGUUGAGGU